AGUCGAACGAACUCUGGUAUUGAUUGGUGCUUGCUCAUGAUUUACAUUUGACUGAGUGGCGAACUGGUGAGUAACACGUGGGAAACCUGCCCAGAAGCGGGGGAUAACACCUGGAAACAGAUGCUAAUACCGCAUAACAACUUGGACCGCAUGGUCCGAGCUUGAAAGAUGGCUUCGGCUAUCACUUUUGGAUGGUCCCGCGGCGUAUUAGCUAGAUGGUGGGGUAACGGCUCACCAUGGCAAUGAUACGUAGCCGACCUGAGAGGGUAAUCGGCCACAUUGGGACUGAGACACGGCCCAAACUCCUACGGGAGGCAGCAGUAGGGAAUCUUCCACAAUGGACGAAAGUCUGAUGGAGCAACGCCGCGUGAGUGAAGAAGGGUUUCGGCUCGUAAAACUCUGUUGUUAAAGAAGAACAUAUCUGAGAGUAACUGUUCAGGUAUUGACGGUAUUUAACCAGAAAGCCACGGCUAACUACGUGCCAGCAGCCGCGGUAAUACGUAGGUGGCAAGCGUUGUCCGGAUUUAUUGGGCGUAAAGCGAGCGCAGGCGGUUUUUUAAGUCUGAUGUGAAAGCCUUCGGCUCAACCGAAGAAGUGCAUCGGAAACUGGGAAACUUGAGUGCAGAAGAGGACAGUGGAACUCCAUGUGUAGCGGUGAAAUGCGUAGAUAUAUGGAAGAACACCAGUGGCGAAGGCGGCUGUCUGGUCUGUAACUGACGCUGAGGCUCGAAAGUAUGGGUAGCAAACAGGAUUAGAUACCCUGGUAGUCCAUACCGUAAACGAUGAAUGCUAAGUGUUGGAGGGUUUCCGCCCUUCAGUGCUGCAGCUAACGCAUUAAGCAUUCCGCCUGGGGAGUACGGCCGCAAGGCUGAAACUCAAAGGAAUUGACGGGGGCCCGCACAAGCGGUGGAGCAUGUGGUUUAAUUCGAAGCUACGCGAAGAACCUUACCAGGUCUUGACAUACUAUGCAAAUCUAAGAGAUUAGACGUUCCCUUCGGGGACAUGGAUACAGGUGGUGCAUGGUUGUCGUCAGCUCGUGUCGUGAGAUGUUGGGUUAAGUCCCGCAACGAGCGCAACCCUUAUUAUCAGUUGCCAGCAUUAAGUUGGGCACUCUGGUGAGACUGCCGGUGACAAACCGGAGGAAGGUGGGGAUGACGUCAAAUCAUCAUGCCCCUUAUGACCUGGGCUACACACGUGCUACAAUGGAUGGUACAACGAGUUGCGAACUCGCGAGAGUAAGCUAAUCUCUUAAAGCCAUUCUCAGUUCGGAUUGUAGGCUGCAACUCGCCUACAUGAAGUCGGAAUCGCUAGUAAUCGCGGAUCAGCAUGCCGCGGUGAAUACGUUCCCGGGCCUUGUACACACCGCCCGUCACACCAUGAGAGUUUGUAACACCCAAAGUCGGUGG
rnacentral:rRNA from 2 species